GAGGAGACUAUGCUCUGUAUUUUAUCCCAGUGUGAAAGAAACAAAUAAAUACUAACACUCAACAACUAAUUUUCAGUUUGUCACAAAAAUGUGUAGAGAGGCCUUGUGUAUGUUAAAAGGGAAGUUGGAGAUUUCGUUUCUGCCUUCCCCCCUUCAGCCACAGCAGUGGUGUGAGCUGUGUGGUGUCAGAGGGAUCAGCCGGGCAGCCAGUUCUCCUUUUUUCAAUCAAUCAGCAUGUUUUACUUCACAUUUGUACCGACUUGAAACAAGUUACAUUUGCAACUGCAGAAAGCAAAGAUGAAACUUUGUUCUUGCUUUUGUGUUGAGCCCUACAAUUUAUUUCUCUCCUGGCAACAGAUUUUAAAUCUCUCUUCCUCCCCCUCUCUUUUCUUCCUUUUCAUGGGAACUGUUUGGUGAGUGCCGACAAAGCGCUGUGUGUGUGUGUGUGUGUGUGUGUGUGUGUGUGUGUGUGUGUGUUUUCCCUUUGCCUGGUUUCUGUGUCGGUGUGCACAGGCACGCAUUCAUUAACGUAAUUCCUCAACAUCCAACAAGAGCGCAUCAUAAACCCGGGAGAAAAAGCCUCAUAAAUAUUUAGAUGUUCCCUCCACCUUCCAAACUGGAGUGAAAAGCUUAUUUAGUGAAGAGUUGGUCUCGGUUAAUCUGCAUGUGAAUCAAGAUGGGAGACAAAAGGAUGAAAAGGUGAUGGAAACUCGAAUACAAACCCUAUGGUCUCCAGGGGGUCAUUCAUCUUGUGCUUGUCAAUACCAUGGCGGGGCUUGGCUUUUUUCUGCGCAUGAGCAAACAGAGCCGGUUUCCAAAGACAGCUGGAAAGGAUGUGUAUGCUUUGUUCUAGCUUGUAGUUUUUUCAGGAAUGAAAUUGCUUUACACUUUAUAUUGGACUGACUUCUUCAUUCUUCUGAGUUGCUGCUAGCCAUAGUUGAGUGAUGCAUCUAUAUUUAGUGAUGUAUACAAAUACACAAGACAGGCAGUAGGAACAAGAUUUUUUUUUACAAAAUAUACAUAAGACAACCAUUUUAAUCAUGUUAAAGUGUAUAAUUCAGGUGCAUCUACUACCUCAGUGUUGUGUAGCUGUCACCACUAUUUAUUUCUAAAACCUUUUCAUCAUUCCAAACGUGAGUUCUGUA
rnacentral:lncRNA from 1 species